CGUCAAAUAAGCAUAGCCAUCCCGUGUGCCCGGAGGGGAAAAGGUACUGCAGCCAAACAGAUGGUUGCAUUUGAUGCCUUGAGGCCUAUUCUGCACUGACUCAACUGGUUAUGAUGUGCAGUUCUACUGGAAUGAAGCUGCUGACCAUCAGGAGGGUUUUGAAGACAAGUACCAAGGAAGGAGUUGUGUUCCUGAGCAGAACUUUGCACGAGGACUCCAUUAUAUGUUUUGGUUCGUUAUCUCCUGACAUAACAGUUCUGUUGGCCCAGGAUGUGGUUUAUCUUAUCACAUAGAGAUGAUACCCUGUCAAGAUAUGCUCCAGUUUCUGGGAACAAUUGUUCUAUUGUGCUUGGAGAAUGCCUGGGACAACAUGCUAUUGCCCACUGGCAGAGCCUUACAGUGCAGCAUGCAGCACAAGAGCAGAAUGCAAUAAAUGGAUUCUACAAGAGGAAGCAUUGGGUGGAUUUUGUUGUCCUCAUACCUACGUUGAUAAGAGUCCUCAAGUGUUUGCCCUUCCAUUUGGUGCUCUGCCAGACAUCUGCAUUUGUGGCCAUCAGCACCAGAGCCUGUUCUGUCCUGUGUCAGUUCUCCAGAUGCUGUUCCUGCUAUCAAAAAUAAGGAAGAGAGAAAAGAAGGACCGGGUUCAGCUGUGCUGUUGGAGGGAUGCACAGUUCAGAACUUCCCCACAGUGUGGAGAGAAAUGAGUUCUGUCAUUAAAAGGAGGAAAGAAUGCACCAAAAUCGUGCUUGACCAUAUGAUAAGGAGGCAAAGACUGGAAUAUUCCUGUGGUGGUGUUCACAGAAGUCUGUUCUGAAAAAAAUGUAUAACUUCUUUCCAGGGUCUGAUGGCACAAAGCAACCAUGAAUAAAUGGACAGUGGGACCAAAAUGCAAAGGAAAAUUGAUGGAACCACCUCAGAGGAGCUUAUUGCUGAAAACUGUUCUCAGUAAAUUGUUGAAAGAUUACUGAAAC
rnacentral:lncRNA from 7 species